AGCUUAACAAAUGCUUCUUGACUGACUGAUGAACUGACUGACCUUCAGAAGUGAUCUUCAGUGCCCCAGGCCAGCAGAAGGAACUAGAAGGCAAUUAACACACACCUACCAAGUUUUCUCUUCUGUAGACUAAGCAUCUCCAGGCUCUUUAGUCGUUGAUUUGGAGACAGAAAUUGAAGGUAUAAUUGGCAUUUCUGCAUAAUCGUGAUGGACACUGAGGAUCUUCAAGAAUACUUGCCAUCAUCAUAGAGGCUAUCCAGUACAGAAUCUGAAUGGAAGAGAUGUUCCCUAUCAAUGAUCCCAUGUAUUUUCUGAUGCAGAGCUCCAAAACCUCAUUACCAGCAAGAUCAGCAUAACAACCAGGGCAGCCACUGACGAGAUUGAGGCACAGAAUCAGAGGAUUUUAAGCUGGAAAAGACCUAUAAGAUUUUCUAGUUCAAUGAGGACACAGGGGUUCACGUAGGCAAGAUGAGAAAGAAGGCAAGAGGAAAAAAGAAAGAGAC